rnacentral:lncRNA from 1 species
GACAUUCGGAGCUGCUCUUCAGGGUUCUGGGCACGUCGCAUAUUGCGCCCCAGCCUUCUCAGCAGCCAGGAGCUGGGAGGUGGAGGGGCCUGUGGUCUGGCCGCCACCUAGCAGGCCUGCAUGGCCACCUCCAGCCGGGUGCAGGCUGGCUGGGGUGGGGCUGCCCUUGACCUUGGGCUCUCCCUCCUCCGCCAGAUCCUCAGGCGCUGGCUCAGCCUCCCACGGCCUGGGGGAGCCUCUGUCUGCUCCUUCCAGCCGUUCAAGGACGAGGCUUCCGAAAGACUCACUGUUCCUGUGUGGGGAACUGAGGCUGUGUGAAGGCUGGAUGAACCGCUGCUGUGGCCUGAGUCCUCCGGAGGCUGAGAGCAAACGGCUGCACUAGGAACCCAGCAGUCAGACCGGCCCCCACCCUGGAGUGAACACAUCGCCACUGCCAGGCAUCGCAGGGAGGAUUACCCCAAUGGCACCUGGCUGGGCGACGAGAACAACCCCGAGAUGCGGGUGCACUGCGCCAUCAUCCCCUCCGACAUGCUGCACAUCAGCACCAACUGCCGCACGGCCGAGGAGAUGGUGCUCACGCUGCUGGACUACCUCUUCCACCGCGAGGUGCAGGCUGUGUCCAGCCUCUCGGGGCAGGGCAAGCACGGGAAGAAGCAGCUGGACCCGCUCACCAUCUAUGGCAUCCGGUGUCACCUUUUCUAUAAAUUUGGCAUCACAGAAUCUGACUGGUACCGAAUCAAGCAGAGCAUCGACUCCAAGUGCCGCACGGCGUGGCGGCGCAAGCAGUGGGGCCAGAGCCUGGUGGUCAAGAGCUUCUCGUGGAGAAUGCCCAACUCAUCCUCCUACUGCCCCUCAGAGCCGAUGAUGAGCACCCCACCUCCUGCCAGAGAGCUCCUGCAGCCACAGCUGCAGCCGCAGGCCCUGCACUACGCGCUGGCCAACGUGCAGCAGGUGCAGAUCCACCAGAUCGGAGAAGACGGACAGGUGCAAGUAGGACACCUCCACAUCGCCAAGGUGCCACAGGGGGAGCAAGUCCAGAUCACGCAGGACAGCGAGAGCCCGUGUUCUGGUACUACGUGAAGGAGGUCCUCAACAAGCACGAGCUGCAAGCGCUUCUACUCCCUGCGCCACAUCGCCUCAGACGUGGGCCGGGGCCGCACCUGGCUGCGCUGUGCCCUCAACGAACACUCCCUGGAGCGCUACCUGCACAUGCUCCUGGCCGACCGCUGCAGGCUCAGUACUUUUUAUGAAGACUGGUCUUUUGUGAUGGAUGAAGAGAGGUCCAGUAUGCUUCCUACCAUGGCAGCAGGUCCGAACUCCAUACUCUUUGCGAUUAACAUUGACAACAAGGAUUUGAACGGGCAGAGUAAGUUUGCUCCCACCGUUUCAGACCUCUUAAAGGAGUCAACGCAGAAUGUGACCUUGCUGAAGGAGUCCACGCAAGGAGUGAGCAGCGUGUUCAGGGAGAUCACAGCCUCCUCUGCCAUCUCCAUCCUCAUCAAACCUGAACAGGAGACCGACCCCUUGCCCGUCGUGUCCAGGAAUGUCAGUGCUGAUGCCAAAUGCAAAAAGGAGCGGAAGAAGAAAAAGCAAGUGACCAACAUUAUCUCAUUUGAUGAUGAGGAAGAUGAGCAGAACUCUGGGGACAUGUUUAAAAAGACACCUGGGGCAGGGGAGAGCUCAGAGGACAACUCCGACCACUCCUCUGUCAAUAUCAUGUCCGCCUUUGAAAGCCCCUUCGGGCCAAACUCCAAUGGAAGUCAGAGCAGCAACUCGUGGAAAAUUGAUUCCCUGUCUUUGAACAGGGAGUUUGGGUACCAGAAGCUUGAUGUGAAAAGCAUCGAUGAUGAAGAUGUGGAUGAAAACGAAGAUGACGUGUAUGGAAACUCAUCAGGACGGAAGCACAGGGGCCACUCAGAGUCGCCCGAGAAGUGCUGCCAUGGCCACGACUGUUGUUACACUCGAGCUGAGGAGGCCGGCUGCAGCCCCAAGACAGAGCGCUACUCCUGGCAGUGCGUCAAUCAGAGCGUCCUGUGCGAUGAGUCCCCAGCAGCACCAUGCCACCCACCCCGAGUAUCCCCUGGGCACCCUGGCAUAGCCAGAUGACUUCCGUGCCCCUGUUGCAAUAACCACUGCUUCCAAGUCUCUGUAGACCACCCCUUGGGUAUAUCUCAUGUAAGUGAUAUUUAUUUUAUUUAUAUUUUUUGAGUCAGAGUCUCACUCUGUCACCCAGGCUAGAGUGUGCUGACGUGAUCUUGGCUCACUACAACCUCUGUCUCCUGGGUUCAAGCGAUUCUCAUGCCUCAGCCUCCCAAGUGGCUAGGACUACAGACAUGCACCAUCACGCCCAGCUAAUUUUUGUAUGUUUUUCAGUAGAGGUGGGGUUUCACCAAGUUGGCCGGGCUGGUCUCAAACUCCCCACCUCAAGUGGUCUGCCCGCCUCGGCCUCCCAAAGUGCUGGGAUUACAGGCAUGAGCCAUGGUGUCUGGCCCUAAUGUGAGUGAUCUUUAACACUGAGCACUUGAAAAAGAAAACCCUGAAGAAACCUAAUUAUUCGAUGUCUGGACGACAAGGAAGAAGAUAGAAAUGGCAUCAGAUAAUAAACAGUGUAAAUGUUUGUUUAUCAGAAAGGGGCUGGUGGUCGGGACAAGUAGGAGGAUCGCUUGAGUCCAGGAGUGCAUCUCUACAAAAAAGUUAAAGGAUUUUUUAACAUUGGCCAGGCGUGGUGGCACACAUCUGUGAUCCCAGCUACUUGGGAGGCUGAGGCAGGAG